rnacentral:rRNA from 1 species
UACGAAGGGGGCUAGCGUUGCUCGGAAUCACUGGGCGUAAAGGGUGCGUAGGCGGGUCUUUAAGUCAGGGGUGAAAUCCUGGAGCUCAACUCCAGAACUGCCUUUGAUACUGAAGAUCUUGAGUUCGGGAGAGGUGAGUGGAACUGCGAGUGUAGAGGUGAAAUUCGUAGAUAUUCGCAAGAACACCAGUGGCGAAGGCGGCUCACUGGCCCGGUACUGACGCUGAGGCGCGAAAAGCGUGGGGAGCAAACAGGG